rnacentral:rRNA from 1 species
UACGGAAGGCAGCAGUGGGGAAUAUUGCACAAUGGGCGAAAGCCUGAUGCAGCUAUGCCGCGUGUAUGAAGAAGGCCUUAGGGUUGUAAAGUACUUUCAUCGGGGAGGAAAAAACAAAACUAAUAAUUUUAUUUCUUGACGUUACCCGAAAAAGAAGCACCGGCUAACUCCGUGCCAGCAGCCGCGGUAAUACGGAGGGUGCUAGCGUUAAUCAGAAUUACUGGGCGUAAAGAGCACGUAGGUGGUUUUUUUAAGUCAGAUGUGAAAUCCCUGGGCUUAAACCUAGGAACUGCAUUUUGAAACUGAAAUACUAGAGUAUCGUAGAGGGAGGUAGAAUUCUAGGUGUAGCGGUGAAAUGCGUAGAUAUCUGGAGGAAUACCUGUGGCGAAAGCGGCCUCCUAAACGAAUACUGACACUGAGGUGCGAAAGCGU